GGCUCCUUUGGAUCCCUGCUUUCCUCUCUGGUAUAACAACUGUUACCAGUUUCUCAUAUUUACUGAGCAUCAAUUAGGUGUUAAAUGCUUGGUCUACAUCAGUGAACAAAACACAGACCAUUACAACCUUUGUAGAGUUUAUAUCCAAUUAGGAGAAAACAGACAAUAAGCCAUAAACAUGGCACUUAAGCACAUUGAAUAACUGAACAUUUGAAGGUGAUGAGCAUUCUGGAGAAGAGAAGAGUAGGGUAAGAGGAAUUCUAGAGGAUGGUGGGCUAGUUUUAAUUACAGUGGCCAGGUACAGGCCUCACUGGGAAGGUAAGACUUGAGCAAAAUCUUGAAAGAGGUGAAAAGUGAGCCCUGUGGACAUUCAGGAGGAGAACUUUCCUAACAGCCGUGGCAGAGCCAAAAUAGGCCAUGCUUAGGGUAUUCUGGCCACAGCAAGGUAGUCAGGGGCUGCAGAGUGAGGGGGAGAGACAAGUCCAAGGGUCAUGACAAGGUGUCAUUGGGCAAAUUAGAAGUGGUAAGGCCUUUAGAUCACAUAUGAACUAUUUCAGAGAUAGCCUGUGCAUAUAUGAGCUUAUUUGUACACAUCUUUGCAAUUUAUAACUACACCAAUGAUCUCAGCCUAGACCUCUGUUUUGUCCUUCCUUUUUUUUUAAUUACUGCAUAUACCUCAAACUCAUUUAUACGUGAAUUUAAUAUACAUCCAACUAUACAAUCAUUCUUUUGACAGCUCUACAGUAUUCCAGUGUGUGUGUAUAUCUCAUUUAACCAGUCCCUUGUAUCAGAUAAUCUCAAACAAAAAUGUUGCUCUAAAAAAUUCCUUGUUUGGGGAUAGGGAUGUAGCUCAGUGGUGGAGUGCUUACCUUACAUGCUUGAGGUCUCAGGUUUGAUUCCCUAGCACCACAAAGAAAAAUCCUCAGGGAAGAGGAUUUAUGUAGCUCAGUGUUAGAGUGCUUGCCACACAUGCAUGAGGCACUGGGUUCGAUCCUCAGCACCACAUAAAAAUAGAUAAAGAUAUUGUAUUUUAAAAAAAAAAGAGGAGUUUAAAAACAAAAAUACUUGUUCAUCUAUUUAGCCUGUGCAUCUCUAGCUCUAGUUGAAGUCCCUGGAAAUGGAAUUAGGUUGAGCAUAAGAUUUUGUACUUUAGAUAGAUAUCAGCCAGUACCCUCCACCCUGAUUACAACACUUAUGUUCAUCCAUCACUGCAUGAGGGUGUCUCUUUUUCUAUGCUCACUAAUAGAGUAUGUUAUCAAAUUUUUGUUUUUAAUUUUAUGUAUUUUUAAAAUAUUUUUUAGUUAUAC
rnacentral:lncRNA from 1 species